rnacentral:rRNA from 1 species
UACGUAGGGGGCAAGCGUUGUCCGGAUUUAUUGGGCGUAAAGAGCGUGUAGGCGGCCAGAUAAGUCCGCUGUGAAAUCUCGAGGCUCAACUUCGAGCUGUCGGUGGAAACUGUCUGGCUAGAGUCCGGAAGAGGAGAAUGGAAUUCCUGGUGUAGCGGUGAAAUGCGUAGAUAUCUGGAGGAACACCGGUGGCGAAGGCGACAUCCUGGACCAACACUGACGCUGAGUGAGCGAAAGCCAGGGGAGCAAACGGG